UAAGAUAAUUUGGUUUUAUCCUCUUAAAAAGCCAGUUGUAAUGUAAAAGUUUUACCGAGGGACAAGACAUUUUGACCAUAUUUAACAGAUAUACAAUACAAAAAUCUUUAAAAUAAAAAAAUAUAUAAAUGUAUGAAUUUUUUAAAUGAACUUUAUUUGUUUACCAUAUAAUAACAACUACAUUUGUUUAUUUUCUGAUGUUAAUACAGCUUUUAUACAGCUUAAUGGGGUAGUUUUUGUGUCAGGGACACAAAAUGGCACGUUUUCAUAGAAUGAUCCAUUUAAUAUAAGAAAUGU